rnacentral:tRNA from 1 species
UCUAAGGAUGAAUAAAAGUAAAAUUUUAUUCUAAAUAAUAUACAUCGGUAAUGUUGACCGUCCUCAUUUCUCUUCUUAAAGUAAUGUUUCCUUCUUGUAGGGCCGGUAGCUCAGUUGGUUAGAGCACACCCUUGAUAAGGGUGGGGUCGAAAGUUCGAGUCUUUCUCGGCCCACCAAUCUUAACUGGGGGAUUAGCUCAUCUGGGAGAGCGCCUGAUUUGCAUUCAGGAGGUAGCAGGUUCGAUCCCUGUAUCCUCCACCAGGAAACAUUUAGUUAUUAAAACUGUAAAUAAAAAUAAUUUAUAUCAAUAUCUAUAUCCGAACAUUAAAAGUUAUUAUUUAAUGUUCAAAAUAAAAAUUUGAUCACAACACAGAAAAUUUUUCUGUGCAUAAAU